GAUGAACGCUGGCGGCGUGCCUAAUACAUGCAAGUAGAACGCUGAAGCUUGGUGCUUGCACCGAGCGGAAGAGUUGCUGACGGGUGAGUAACUCGUAGGUAACCUGCCUCCUCGUGGGGGAUAACUAAUGGAAACGAUAGCUAAUACCGCAUAAAAGCCGAUAUCUCAUGAUAUUGAUUGGAAAGGUGCAAAUGCACCACUAAGUGAUGGAGCUGCGUUGUAUUAGCUAGUUGGUGUGGUAACCGCUCACCAAGGCGACGAUACAUAGCCGACCUGAGAGGGUGAGCGGCCACACUGGGACUGGGACACGGCCCAGACUCCUACGGGAGGCAGCAGUAGGGGAUCCUCGGCAAUGGGAGCAACCGUGAACGUGCAACGCCGCGUGAGAGCAGGAGGGUUUCGGGUCGCGAAGGUCAGUUGUAAGAGAAGAACGUGUGUGAGAGUGAAAAAUUCACAUUAUGACGGUAACUUACCAGAAAGGGACGGCUAACUACGUG
rnacentral:rRNA from 1 species